GAACUUAAGCAUAUCAAUAAGCGGAGGAAAGAAACUAACAAGGUUCCCGUAGUAACUGCGAGUGAACCGGGAAAAGCUCAAAUUUGUAAUCUGGCGGUCCUUGUGGCCGUCCGAGUUGUAAUCUAGAGAAGUGCUAUCCGCGCUGGACCGUGUACAAGUCUUCUGGAAUGAAGCAUCAUAGAGGGUGAGAAUCCCGUCUUUGACACGGACUGCCAGGGCUAUGUGAUGCACUUUCGAUGAGUCGAGUUGUUUGGGAAUGCAGCUCUAAAUGGGUGGUAAAUUCCAUCUAAAGCUAAAUAUAGGCGAGAGACCGAUAGCGAACAAGUACCGUGAGGGAAAGAUGAAAAGAACUUUGGAAAGAGAGUUAAACAGUACGUGAAAUUGUUGAAAGGGAAACGCUUGAAGUCAGUCGCGUUGGCCGGGGAUCAACCUUGCAUUCAUUUGUGGGGCGUACUUUCUGGUUGACGGGUCAGCAUCAAUUUUGACCGUUGGAAAAAGGUUGGGGGAAUGUGGCAUCUUCGGAUGUGUUAUAGACUCUGACUGCAUACAACGGUUGGGAUUGAGGAACUCAGCACGCCGCAAGGCCGGGGGAAACCCACGUACGUGCUUAGGAUGCUGGCAUAAUGGCUUUAAUCGACCCGUCUUGAAACACGGACCAAGGAGUCUAACAUGCCCGCGAGUGUUUGGGUGGAAAACCCGAGCGCGUAAUUAAUGUGAAAGUUGAGAUCCUUGUCGUGAGGAGCAUCGACGCCCGGACCAGACCUUUUGUGACGGAUCUGCGGUAGAGCGUGUAUGUUGGGACCCGAAA
rnacentral:rRNA from 1 species